rnacentral:rRNA from 1 species
AGGGCACCACCAGGAGUGGAGCCUGCGGCUUAAUUUGACUCAACACGGGAAAUCUCACCAGGCCCGGACACCGGAAGGAUUGACAGAUUGAGAGCUCUUUCUUGAUUCGGUGGGUGGUGGUGCAUGGCCGUUCUUAGUUGGUGGAGCGAUUUGUCUGGUUAAUUCCGAUAACGAACGAGACUCUGGCCUACUAACUAGAUGAUUCCUGGUUUAUCCGGGAGUCACUGCUUCUUAGAGGGACGGGCGGCGUUUAGCCGCACGAGAAUGAGCAAUAACAGGUCUGUGAUGCCCUUAGAUGUUCUGGGCUGCACGCGCGCUACACUGAAGGAAUCAGCGUGUCCUCCCCACCCUGGCAAGGGCGGGUAACCCGUUGAAACUCUUUCGUGAUGGGGAUUGGAGAUUGUAAUUAUUCUCCAUGAACGAGGAAUUCCCAGUAGGCGCGAGUCAUCAGCUUGCGUCGAUUACGUCCCUGCCCUUUGUACACACCGCCCGUCGCUACUACCGAUCGAGUGAUUUAGU